rnacentral:rRNA from 1 species
GACGAACCGAGCGAACGUUGUUCGGAAUCACUGGGCUUAAAGGGCGCGUAGGCGGGUUCUCAAGUCUGGGGUGAAAUCCCACAGCUCAACUGUGGAACUGCCUCGGAUACUGGGGGCCUCGAGGGUGGUAGGGGUAUGCGGAACUAUCGGUGGAGCGGUGAAAUGCGUUGAUAUCGAUAGGAACUCCGGUGGCGAAGGCGGCAUACUGGACCACAUCUGACGCUGAGGCGCGAAAGCCAGGGGAGCAAACGGG